AAAUACUAAAUUCUAGAAAAAAAACAGAACAAAAAUCCUUCAAUACCAGUACCAGGGUCCGAGGUAAAACUCUAAUUUCCCAACAUUAUGCAGAAAACAAAGGCAAACAUACGAAAAUUAAAAGAAUUUUCUUGUUUUUCUAAAACUUCUCAACUCACUAUAGUGAAUUCAAAACGUAAAAUUAACAGAGAAAUUGGAGACAACAAACCAGGUACAAGCAAUGGCAUUGACAUUCCGACACUAUCCCUCGGAUCCCCUGAAAAAUAAGGGCAAAAAUCGAGAAAGAUAAACCCACGUGUGGUGUGGUUAAUGUGCGCGUCAGUCUUCCAUUAAAGAAAUUAUACAAACUUCAAUGUCCGCCUAAUGAUUCUAAUUCUGUGAAGUGUUGAAUAUUUAGUGUUUUGUUGGACGAUGGUGGUUGGUGGUGGUGGUGCCGGUAAAGUAGCAACAGGGGAGGAGGACACAGAGAGAGGGAGGAGAAGAUCUGGUUUCAGAUGUUUCUCACACAUUUGAGGUGGAGUUAAGAUGGAAACACAUCACUCUUUGAAUUUAAUUACAAUAAUAAAAAUAAUUACAACUCAGCUAAUAUUAACGUCGUCUGCUACCACUUAACGGAUAGGAUACAAUGUGUGCAUAUUUUCAAAAAUUGUGACUAAAUUGAGACUGUUGCAAACUUGAGGACCAAAAUGAGAUUAGUUGACAAAACAGAGGACCAUUAGAGGUAUUAAGCCUACCGCAUUAUAAACAGAAGUUAGCGCAAUUGAUCGUCCUACCCCUAUCCCUAGGUGGUAUUGCAAAAUCAAGAAAUUACUCACCAGUUCAUGUCAUUACUGUACGUCCCCAUAUCAAUAAAGACAAACAUCAGUUACCGAAUGAGUUAAACGAUAAAGGCCUUAAGCACAGAUGAUAAC
rnacentral:lncRNA from 1 species